UACAGGAGGUGCAAGCGUUGUUCGGAAUUACUGGGCGUAAAGAGCGUGUAGGCGGCCAGGUAGGUCUGCUGUGAAAACUCGAGGCUCAACCUCGAGACGUCGGCGGAAACCAUCUGGCUAGAGUCCGGAAGAGGAGAGUGGAAUUCCUGGUGUAGCGGUGAAAUGCGCAGAUAUCAGGAAGAACACCCGUGGCGAAGGCGGCUCGCUGGGACGGUACUGACGCUGAGGCGCGAAAGCGUGGGGAGCGAACAGG
rnacentral:rRNA from 1 species